rnacentral:rRNA from 1 species
UACCCCAAACCGACACAGGUGGUCAGGUAGAGAAUACUCAGGCGCUUGAGAGAACUCGGGUGAAGGAACUAGGCAAAAUGGUGCCGUAACUUCGGGAGAAGGCACGCUGGCGGUAGGUAAAGUCCCUCGCGGACGGCGCUGAAGCCAGUCGAAGAUACCAGCUGGCUGCAACUGUUUAUUAAAAACACAGCACUGUGCAAACACGAAAGUGGACGUAUACGGUGUGACGCCUGCCCGGUGCUGGAAGGUUAAUUG